UACGGGGGGGGUAAGCGUUGUUCGGAAUUACUGGGCGUAAAGGGCUCGUAGGCGGCCAACUAAGUCAUACGUGAAAUCCCUCAGCUUAACUGGGGAACUGCGUCUGAUACUGCGUGGCUUGGGUGCAGGAGAGGAAUGCGGAAUUCCAGGUGUAGCGGUGAAAUGCGUAGAUAUCGGGAGGAACACCAGUGGCGAAGGCGGCUCUCUGGACCGGUACUGACGCUCAGGCGCGAAAGCGUGGGGAGCGAUCCGG
rnacentral:rRNA from 1 species